rnacentral:rRNA from 1 species
GACGUAGGGGGCAAGCGUUGUCCGGAAUCAUUGGGCGUAAAGCGCUCGUAGGUGGAUCCGUAAGUCUGCAAAGAAAGACCCGGGCUCAACUCGGGGAACGGUGUGGAUACUACCGAUCUUGAGGCAAUCAGAGGAUGAUGGAAUUCCCGGUGUCGCGGUGAAAUGCGUAGAUAUCGGGAGGAACACCAGUGGCGAAGGCGAUCAUCUGGGGUUGUUCUGACACUGAGGAGCGAAAGCUAGGGGAGCAAACGGG